AAAGUACCAGGAUUAUAAUUUAGUACGCCAGACGCGCGUUUCGUCUACAUAAGACUCAUCAGUGACGCUCAUAUCAAAAUAGUUAUAAAGCCAAACAAUACAAAGUUGAAGAGCAUAGAGGAUCCAAAAUUCCAAAAAGUUGUGCCAAAUACGGCGAAGGUAAUCUAUUCCUGGGACAAGAAAAUCCUUAGUUUUUCGAAAAAUUCAAAGUUUUGUAUCAGGAAAUUUAUAAAAAUGAUCACAUUAUUGAUAUUCAUGUCAACACCGAAGUGCUGACUACUGGGCUGGUGAUACCCUCGGGCACGAAACGUCCACCAGCAGUGGCAUUGACCCAGUGGUGUAAAUAGUUAUCAAAAGUACCAGGAUUAUAAUUUAGUACGUCAGACGCGCG
rnacentral:lncRNA from 1 species